GGGAGGCAUCCACCUCUCUCCUCGCUCAGCCGGUCUCGGAGGGACAGCGCCUCUGCUCCCGCUCGCGGCUCAGCGCUGCCGCCCUGGAGACAGCGAAGCCUUGGGAGCGCCACCUCCCCAAGCAGCACACGAACGGUCAGUCGGGACCGGGCCGCGGUCCCACGCCGCGGGGCGCCGCGGCCGCCGAGGCGAAGUGAGAGGGCGCCUCCGGAGCCUGGGGCCGCUGGUGGGAGGGCGAUGGGGCACCUGUUUCACGACCCGCGCGGGUAGGCUUGGAUCCUGGUCUGCUGGUGAGACGCCAUGAGAAGCUCCGGAGGCGGGGGCUGGAGCUCCUCUCCCCCGGCGGCGGCUGCACUCCCUCUGGCUGCUCGCGGUUCACUCUCCGCCGCCCAAAGGCUGCCACAGCGGGAGCUGGGGGAGGCGCUGCGGAGGGGCGGCAGCCCGAAGUCUCCGGGACGGAGCUAACUCAGAGCUCCUCUGGUAGUCAUUGCCUCCAUCGGCAGCGACUGUGCUAAGGCAGGCCCAUACCUUCAGUGAUUCUGACUCUGGAUUUGCUCCAGGAUGGUCUCCAAUACCCACUGCUUGGACAACCUGAAUUUCACAUUCUGGGCCUUACAACUGGUGUGUCUGGAGCUGUCUUCUUUUCUCCGCUUGUUCCUGGAAAAAUAAAGAUGUGAAGAAUGCACAUGCUUUCUAAUUUCAGGUAAUGAACAAUAUUCUAUACUGCUGCAUGUACCAGAUGCUUAAUAAACCAGUAUUCUAGUUUUGCAGCUGUUACAGGGCUGGGGUGGGCUCGUUCCAUGGAAUAUACAACUUGCAUCAAAGCCUUGAGUCAUGGAAGUAUAUGUUUUCAAAGUCUUCUCUGAAGGCUCCCAUAACUUAUCUAUAGUAGGAAGUCAGGCAACAUGUGAAAAUGCUGAGGUAGUUAAAAGCCAAAUCCAAAGCAAAGCAAAACACUUUACAAAAGCAUUAUCAUUGUUUUAAAUUUGACAGAGCAAACUUUCCUCCUAGUCUGAUUCUGUCCCUUUGUUGAACUCAGGCUUGCAAGGCGGUAGUUUGCUUCCUGAAAGUUUUGUAGAAAACUUGAAACUAAAUUUAGCAAUAUGUAACAUUUUUUUUACACUAUAUGCUGUUCUCUAUAGAGCUUUUCUUCAUAGUAAUCAAUGCAAUAACUGCUUGUAGAGGCUUGUUCUAGAAAAAACUUACUUUGGAGGGGAGAGUGAAUUUCUGUGAUUACUUGAUAGCAGGUUUUGUAAUUUGGAUUUAUUUUUC